GCCCAGGUGGCGGAAUUGGUAGACGCGUUGGUCUCAAACACCAAUGACUUCACGGUCGUGCCGGUUCGACUCCGGCCCUGGGUACUA
rnacentral:tRNA from 1 species